AGCUUGUGUCGUGAGAUGUUGGUUAAGUCCCGCAACGAGCGCAACCCUUGUCAUUAGUUGCUACAUUCAGUUGGGCACUCUAAUGAGACUGCCGGUGACAAGCCGGAGGAAGGUGGGGAUGACGUCAAGUCCUCAUGGCCCUUAUAGGUGGGGCUACACACGUCAUACAAUGGCUGGUACAAAGGGUUGCCAACCCGCAGGGGGAGCCAAUCCCAUAAAGCCAGUCGUAGUCCGGAUCGUAGUCUGCAACUCGACUACGUGAAGUCGGAAUCGCUAGUAAUCGUGGAUCAGAAUGUCACGGUGAAUACGUUCCCGGGUCUU
rnacentral:rRNA from 1 species